UACGUAGGUGGCGAGCGUUGUCCGGAUUUACUGGGCGUAAAGCGCGCGCAGGCGGUUCGUUAAGUCCGGUGUGAAAGCCUCCCGGCUCAACUGGGAGAGGUCAUUGGAUACUGGCGGACUCGAGGGAUGCAGAGGAAGGUGGAAUUCCCGGUGUAGUGGUGAAAUGCGUAGAGAUCGGGAGGAACACCAGUGGCGAAGGCGGCCUUCUGGGCAUUUCCGUGACGCUGAGGCGCGAAAGCGUGGGGAGCGAACCGGG
rnacentral:rRNA from 1 species